GCCACCAGCUCUGUUGUUUCCUCAGUCUUCGCACCACUAGUGUGUAGCUGCUCCAAUUUUUUUUUUUUUUUUGCGCUGCGCUUUGCUUGCAACUCACAAUCCUGGUGAUGACGAGCCUGAAGAGGAACCUGAAGGUUUCCAUGGGGAAAGUGUCUCACUUGAGAUGGCGACCGAACGUCUGAGCAGCGUGGUGCAGAGAACAGUUGAAAAAAUGGGUGAAGACUUACGCGAGAUUUUUCAGAAGAGCGAAGACAGCAUUCACCGUCUGAGUGAAUUACGGGAUGCUCUGUUGCAGCAUGAACGAGAGCAAGUGCAGAAACUUGAGAGCGCCAAAACGAUCCUUCUUGGUGUUUUUGGGAACUAUUCACAGGAGUAGUUGGGGUCACUGACAGCAACUGAGCUUUUGUGUUGCAACAAUGUAUGAAUGACUUUCUAUUACUGCGAGGGCCAGUACCGAUGCACAGAAUUGCACAACUUACUUUCUUUAGGUGACAGAUAAAGUACCUCUGCAAGUUUUUUUCAGGCAAGAAAAUACAUUGCAGUUAA